UCCAACAGUCACCUUAUUGUGGUGGUUUCAGGCACAACAGGGAGCUGCCCACGUUUUUCAAACGAGGACAAUAAAACCUUUAAGUCUGCUCUGACCAGCAGGUUAAUCAUCUUUGCCUUUUGGGAUCAUCCAGAGCAAGAAUUUCCAUGCUGAGACUUAGCUUUGCCUUUUCGGUGUCUGCUGAAUUUUAAAAUUAAGAGGUUUCUUUCACAAUUAAUGUUUUUAGCCUUUAUUUUAGCAGCCUAACUUUUACUCAGAUUUCUGCUUCACUUCAGCGUUUUCAGUAAAUUUGAGCUGCUCUCUUUUGGGUUCUGUUGGGUUCCUGGGUGUUUCCUGUCUGUGGUUGGGGUUGCUGUUUCCCCGUCCAUCCUUCAGGGGGCGCCUGGCAGCCAUUCCUGGAGGGCGUGGACCAGCUGAUAUUCAUCACCUGCACUGCAUGAUCUCAUUUGGAGGAGCAUAAGAGGAGGAGGCAGCCCACACACCAGUGCCAGAGUGUUUUGCCAGUUUUUGGUAUUACAGGCCAUCUGAAGUUAUCCAGUGAUCGAACUUUGUGAAUUUCUAGUGAUUCUUUGUUUUUUUUUGUGCCUCCAUAGGAACUCUCACUACAGAAGCUGUGAACCCCUUAGUGGAAAUCCAGCGCAGAACCUCUCCUUGUGACGCCGGUGGAUUAUUGCCCACCGGAUGCCCAAGUCCCUGAAUCCCACCUUGGUGAUCGGAUCUCCACGCUCGCUGCCCUCCUCUCUCCGGCCAUAACGAAACCCGCCCAGAUCUCGUCCGCCCUCCAGAGCUGCCCCACCACCAUUAGCGAAGCAGCAACACUCAACCUCAAGUAAUCCGGCCAGGAUCCUUCAGAUCUUCCCCCCCCCCGGUCCGUAUCAUCUCAGCUGAACUCCAACCAGAAGCAUCGAAUCCUCUCCGGACCAGUUUUUCCCCUUUUCCUCUGACUGUCAUUCCCUGCAAUAAAUAUCAUUUUACUGAU